CUAGGAUUGUAGUCCCGAAGCUCUUGAAAGGGCGGGAGCGGUGAAGAGACUACAUACAGCUCCCAGCAUGCACAGCAAGGCCGGCACAACCGGACUUCGCCUUCAGGACUGCGCGCCGCCUCCUGUUCAUGCUGGCUGGGAUUGUAAUCCAUUCGCCCAGUGAUGAAAAAACUGGAAGCUAAUCAAAGACGACAACUCCCAUUUUCCAGAUUAACUCGAAGUACCCCACGACUAAACGCUAAUGAAACUAGAGGAGGCACAGCUUCAGCUCCGUGCAGGAUGGAUGCACAAGAGCAGAAUCUCCAUGGGACGCCUUUCUGGAGCAUCAGUAUUACUGCAGGAUUUGGAAGAAACAAAUUCAAAUAAUUUCCAAAGUCAAAGCAACCUAUAUGUCAUCAUACAAACUACAGGCUACGAUGAGCACCUCAUUUUCUUUCUGGAAGGCUGACCUUAAAUGUCCUGCACAUUCCUAUAGUGCAUAUUUACCCUUUUCCUAUACUAAGUAAGCCCUAAAUCUUGGCAGUAACAGCCUGGGGAACUACCUGUCUUGCUACCACUCAAGACCAUGCUUCUGUCCACAAAUUCCCCCCAAUAAAUUACCCUUUACUGAC
rnacentral:lncRNA from 10 species